AGACGCACAUCACCCCGUACAGCUUCAGAUUGUUGGGGGAGCAGCGUCAUCUCGUGGCGUCUCUGAACCAGACCAGGAACUGGACCGAGAGCCGGACUCGGACUCCACCAAACACUCAACCCCCU